GCAGUAGCCGCGGUAAUACAGAGGGUGCAAGCGUUAAUCGGAAUUACUGGGCGUAAAGCGCGCGUAGGUGGUUCGCCAAGUUGGAUGUGAAAUCCCCGGGCUCAACCUGGGAACUGCAUCCAAAACUGCCGGGCUUGAGUAUGGGAGAGGUGAGUGGAAUUUCCGGUGUAGCGGUGAAAUGCGUAGAUAUCGGAAGGAACACCUGUGGCGAAAGCGGCUCACUGGACCAUAACUGACGCUGAUGCACGAAAGCUAGGGGAGCAAACAGGAUUAGAGACCCCUGUAGUCCCUGUCUCUUAUAC
rnacentral:rRNA from 1 species